AAGAAUAAAUGUGUAAAUGUGAGGUUUACAGGUCAUUCAAUGUGGGGAUCAUUUAAGUUUAUCUGGUGAGGUGAGAUUUAAAUGUUUGAGUUUAAUCUUCUACCUGCUCCUUUUUGAACAAAUUAAGUCAAUUUACAUGAUAAUUAGUUUGAUUAUUUUUUACUUUUUGACUGACAUACAUAAGAUGUGUAACUGCAGCUGAAAGCCACUGGGUGGCGCUGCGUCUUCUGUUAAUGAAAAUCUUCGUGUUUUUUUUUUCUUUUUAAAUCCACCAGAAGAAGCAGGUAAAUCAACACAAAAAAAACAAGAGGCGCAGCUGGUCGCUUCGAUUCGCCGGAGACGGCGUCUUCAGAAAGCGCGUCGAGACUCAUCCCAACCAGGAGAACAACAUCUGAUCGCCUUUCUCCAGAUCCACACCGAGACGCAGCAGCUCAGCAGCAGCAACAGUGCAGGGAAGAUCCAGUGAUCACUGAUAUGAAAAAAAGCUCCUGGCUGCUCAUCAGGACGACGCCCACCUCUAAGAACGAGGAAAAUCUGAGACUUAUGAUCCAAUUAAGUUCAUAUUUGAUGACUUUUGUUGUGAACUGAUGUCGCAUAAAUAAACCAAACUGAACAGAA